rnacentral:lncRNA from 1 species
GAAGAAUUUGCCUCAUCACGGCUGGGAUUCCCUGGCUCCUCCCUUGGCUCUGGGCACUGGGAAAAUGGCCUGGGUCUUUUGGAGAGAGGAGAGAAAGGGCAUAGGUCAGGCUUAGCGGGGUGCGACUAGAAGGCCUGGAACCCCAUCUGAGCUGAGCAGUGCGGUUAAUAGUCAGCUAGGAUCCACACACUUCUUAGAAGCUGACUGAAGGGGACACACGGUUCAAAGCCAGCGUUAGUUCUUAUUUCCAGGAAGCACAAGACAGUUCUAGGCAUGUCUUCGACCUGCAAUGUGGCAAGAAAGGCCAAAGCUAGGUGCUCAUUUAGAAGGACCCCUGUUUAAUGUCCCUAUUGUUCUCUUUUCAAGACCUCUGUGGAGAGUGUCACCUACAGACAAACUGUCCUCCCUCAACCAGGUGGCCGAGGCCGGAUGCAUCCCCAGACCAGACCAGCCCAACCCUGGGGACAAGCCCUGAGCUGCCCUGGCACAGAAUUUCCAACAGAACAAGACCGCCUGACAGUAUUGAUGGCCUUUCCAGGCUGGGACGGACUAGGCUAGGCUGAGGAGAGGGGGUGCCUGUCUUUCCUAUCAUGUCUUCAUCCUGUUCUGGAUAGCCUCUGUCUUCAUCCUGUCCUGGAUGACCUCUGUCAUCAUCCUGUCCUGGAUGGCCUCUGUCUUCUUCAUCCUGUCCUGGAUGGCCUGAGGACUGGGGUUGUGGAAUGGUGACAGGAAGAGAGACUCAGGCAGAUGGACAUGCCUGUGGCCUCAGGCUGAGACUUCCCGGGGGACAGAGGCCUGGACAGGCAGUGUCCCUCUUAACAUCAAGCUCCCUCCAACAUGGUCCUCAAACACCAACCUCUGACACAACAUGGAGCCCAGGUCAGAGCUGCAGUCCAAUCUAGAGGAGCUGAGGAGGGGAGG